UACAGAGGUCUCAAGCGUUGUUCGGAUUCAUUGGGCGUAAAGGGUGCGUAGGCGGCGCGGUAAGUCGGGUGUGAAAUCUUGGAGCUUAACUUGGGAACUGCCAUUGAUACUAUUUGUCUUGAAUGUCGUGGAGGUUAGCGGAAUAUGUCAUGUAGCGGUGAAAUGCUUAGAUAUGACAUAGAACACCUAUUGCGAAGGCAGCUAACUACGCGAAUAUUGACGCUGAGGCACGAAAGCGUGGGGAUCAAACAGG
rnacentral:rRNA from 1 species